GUUCCUGUGGCGCAGAGAAUAGCGCGUUGGACUUCUAUCCAAAGGUCGUGGGUUCGAUUCCCAUCAGGGAUA
rnacentral:tRNA from 1 species